AGACACAAUUCCUGUGAAAGGUCCAUGGAAACUUGAGCUGCUGGAGUCACUUGUGACCUGAUGUGUUUGGGGACCAGAGUAAAAGGUCUUUAGGUUGGAAACUUAAAUGAGAGGACAACUUACAUAACUGCACUCAAGGGGUUCCAAAUUCAAGAUAAAAUAUAACUGUAUCAGAAUCAGAGAAUCAAAUGGACUAUAACUGCAAAAUAAAAUAUAU
rnacentral:lncRNA from 1 species